UACGUAGGGUGCAAGCGUUGUCCGGAAUUAUUGGGCGUAAAGAGCUCGUAGGCGGUCUGUCGCGUCGGAUGUGAAAACCCAGGGCUCAACCCUGGGCCUGCAUUCGAUACGGGCAGACUAGAGUUCGGUAGGGGAGACUGGAAUUCCUGGUGUAGCGGUGAAAUGCGCAGAUAUCAGGAGGAACACCGGUGGCGAAGGCAGGUCUCUGGGCCGUAACUGACGCUGAGGAGCGAAAGCAUGGGGAGCGAACAGG
rnacentral:rRNA from 1 species